GUGUGAAUUAUAUUUAAUUGAUUGAUCUAGGCUCUUUGUUGUGAUCUUUGAUUGUUCUGAGUUCUAGGAUUAGCCUCGGGUUGACUCAGUAGUUUAUCUUUCUCUCUUUCACUCAUAGCCAUGGCUAAUUGACCUAACUGCAUCUCUAAACGGACAAUAACCUGGGUGUUGGAAGUUAAAAGUUGGCCUGUAGUUUGGAUGAAGUUAUUUAGUAUAGUGUU
rnacentral:lncRNA from 1 species